CAGUCCCCGAGGGGCCGGGAGGCGGCGGCCAUCCUUCGCGCCGCUGAGCCCGCGGCAGCACCCCCUCCCACCCCCCUGGAGACCCUGGACCCUGGAGAAAGUAGCUCCGCGACGGCGAACUCAGGUGUACUCAGGCGAGGUAUUCACGAUAGAGUGCUUCCUGAGAAACACCCACAGACAGCCCCUUGUGGGACACAGAGAUGCAUUCAAGCCUGACCAGUCCCAUCUGUGUUCCCUGCUUUGGAGACUCCACCUACAUCAACAUCUUCUAUGGAUGGUUGUAAAGUGGAUUCUUUACCAGCUGAGCUACCAGGGAAGCAAGACUGAGGCAUCAUCACAGAUUGGAGGAGACUGAGGAGACACAACUAAAUGCAAUGUAGGAUCCUGAAUUGGACCCUAGGACCGAAAAGGGAUAUCAGGGAGAAGACUGGAGGCCCUGGCAUGUCCUCAUUAACAGCCUUGCACCAAUGUUCAUUUCCUGGUUUUGAUUGUUGUUAACUUUGGGGGAAGCUGAGAGAAGCUGCACUAUUCCUAGAACUUUUCUGUAAAACUAAAAUGACUUCACAAUAAAAACAUAAUAAAAUAAAAAUCCUAGGGUUUUGAAGCCUUAUGUCCUUGAAGCUUCCAUUUUUAUUUAGUUCUCAGGAGAGAGCUAGAAAACUCAUUCUUUGUUUAGCCCUGAGGGAACCAGCCACCUUCCACUCUAGUAGCCCAACUCACCUCCAUCUCAAGUCUGACAUUUGCCUCCGAGGAUUCAGCGUUCAAGCAGCAAAUAUUUAUUAGUAUCUCCUUUCUGCCAGACCCUAUACUUAAGGCAGG